rnacentral:lncRNA from 1 species
UUUGUUUUAUUUUCUUUGUUUUGUUUUCAGUUUUUCUCUUUUUUUGGUUAAAAUUUAAAAUAAAAAAAAAAAUUGCAUACUUUUUCCUUUGGUUUUUGAGUUAGAAUUGUGAGUAUUUUUCUUAGUUCUCGUGACUAAAGUCUUGUGGUGUGAUGUGAAAAAUUUGUUGUGCAUUUUUAAUAUGAUAGGUAGGGCUAAACUCUAAAUUGUAUAUAUUUAGCAGUAGAUCAUUAACCCUGGUGAGCUUUGAGCCUUAUAUGGAUAACAUGCAAAAAUCCAUCUCUUUCUUUCUUAUGUGAUUCACUCAUGUAUGUUAGUCUUUUGAACUUGAAUUGGCUCUUGUUGAUGUUGUUGUUU